AACGAACGCUGGCGGCGCGCCUAAUACAUGCAAGUCGAGCGAGAAGGUGUAGCAAUACACUGGUACAGCGGCGAACGGGUGAGGAAUACAUGGGUAACCUACCCUCGAGUGGGGAAUAACUAGCCGAAAGGUUAGCUAAUACCGCAUACGAUUCCCGAAUUGCGGUUCGGGAAAGAAAGCCAUUCCGUGGGAAUGGCGCUCUUGGAUGGGCUCAUGUCCUAUCAGCUUGUUGGUGAGGUAACGGCUCACCAAGGCUUCGACGGGUAGCUGGUCUGAGAGGACGAUCAGCCACACUGGCACUGCGACACGGGCCAGACUCCUACGGGAGGCAGCAGUAAGGAAUAUUGCGCAAUGGGCGACAGCCUGACGCAGCGACGCCGCGUGGGGGAUGAAGGUCUUCGGAUUGUAAACCCCUUUCGGGAGGGAAGAGGGAAUGGGGUAACCCAUUCGGACGGUACCUCCAGAAGCAGCCACGGCUAACUUCGUGC
rnacentral:rRNA from 1 species